rnacentral:rRNA from 1 species
CCUACGGGGGGCUGCAGUAGGGAAUUUUGCGCAAUGGGCGAAAGCCUGACGCAGCAACGCCGCGUGAUCGAGACGCCCUUCGGGGUGUAAAGAUCUGUCAGUGGGGACGAAACUUGACGGUACCCACAGAGGAAGCACCGGCUAACUCCGUGCCAGCAGCCGCGGUAAUACGGGGGGUGCAAGCGUUGUCCGGAGUCAUUGGGCGUAAAGAGGUCGUAGGCGGCACGUAAAGUCAGGUGUUAAAGGCAGGGGCUCAACUUCUGUACGGCACUGGAUACUGGCGAGCUAGAAUGCGGUAGAGGUAAGGGGAAUGCCUGGUGUAGCGGUGAAAUGCUUAGAUAUCAGGAGGAACAUCGGUGGCGUAAGCGCUUUACUGGGCCGUAAUUGACGCUGAGGAACGAAAGCCAGGGGAGCAAAUGGGAUUAGAUACCCGAGUAGUC